UGUAUUUUGUGGAACGGUGUGGGUAUAUUUUGUGUAACGGGGUGGGUAUAUUUUGUGGAACGUUGUGGGUAUAAUUUGUGGAACGUUCCAACAGGAAUGCGUUCCAAAAACUUCGUAAAUAUCAAUUUUGAUAACAAAAAACGCAUAUAAAGUCGUAUAGCGGUAAAAUGAGAUACCCUGUAGGGGGUGAGCUAUGUAAUUACGUUUUUCACUCACCACGUUUAUUUCGGGAAAAUGUCUCUCUUCAUUCUGGCAACCAAGAUGCUUGACUCACUACAGCUGCUUUUGAGGAACUUUCCAGUCGUUUGUGCUUUACAUUCCGACAUUACAUUCCGACUCUGUUUAUUGGAUAUAUAUAUUAGUGUCUAAUAAAAAUGAACAAUGUA